UAGGUGUGUGUGAGUGUGUGUAUGUGAGUGUGUGAGAGUGUGUGUGUGUGAUCUGCAUAGGGCCUGAGCCCCCCCAUGCACAGACCUUUCUGACCCCACCCCUACACCAGCAGGAAAUCAUCCUGGGAGCUGCGGGCAGAACCAAAGCUGAAUUAAACACUCAGGUCCAAAGGGCCCAUGCUUCAGCCUGAGCGGGUCUCCUCCGAGGCGGCUGGCUUCCACUGCAGGCAAACACAGAGUAGAGCACAGAGUGGCAGGGGGCCUCUCUGUCCUGUACUGACCGAGGUUAGCUGAGCACAGAAGGCCAGCAGAUGUCCCCUUUCUGGACUUGGUGACUCAUGGCCUUCCCACUGGAGUGAGGGAUCCAGCCAGCCUAAGCCCGCUUGGCUGGUGGGGAUGCAGGGCAGAGUUCAGGGUAAACAUGCCGGUCAAGGAGGGAGGUUCAGUUGAGGGUGAAGAUGAGGACAGGAGGUCUUGCUCCACAGACAGUAGGCGUGGCUAUCCUAAGAUAGGCGGGGCUGCUUGCAGAGGGAUGCAAAUGGUGCUAGAGAUGCACCAAGAGGGUGGCAGUCAUCACCUGGUGGGCUCAGGACAGAUCUUUCCAUCUUUGGACUCUGCUAGAGGGACAGGGGACACUUUCUGGGAAAGGGCUGAGUAGUAUAAACUCUGAAUUUUUGCAGCACACACUAUUUCUGCUUCAAUGGCUUCAGAGACUAUAGCCUGAAAGCCUACCUGACAAAUCUGACACAAACAAUGUGGCCAAAUUCUAAUAAAACUUUAUUUGUAAGCAGGAGCAGAGGGCCAACCUUACAGAGCCUGUGAUAUGGGCUUGUGGGUGGGGCUGGAGGCUCUGGCCUCUCUGUGGGUUCUUGGCUUUACUUAUGGUGUCUCCACCGGAAGGGGCGCUCCUUGCUUCUCCCCCUUUCAGAGUCCUUGACUUCAAACUGCCCUCCAUCCCCACCCCAUUUUCUUCAUUGUACCCCCAAAUCUCUGUUUUGUCUUACAACUAUGUCCACAUUUCCUCACACCUGGGGAUUCAUUCAGCUGUUUAUCUCUUCAUCAGCUCAUUGGUUCAGUCUUAAGCAGAUCUUUGCUUAGGAACGAAGUCCUGUCUCUGUUCCAUGCUCGCUCGCACUAGGAAUGCCCCAAGGGAGCCCCACAUCUGUUGGGCAGAACAGCGGGGACAAAGAGCACAGGGGAACAGAUGAAGAGCAUCCCUGGGACACAGUGUCCAUUUGGCUGGGGCGUCUCUGAGCCCCUCUGGUUAUGCCGAAGCUGUGACAAGCAGGACUUGGUUCUGAAGAACCUGCCAUGCCAAGCUCAGGAACGUGGAUGCCCCAAUGCAGGGUAAAACGCAGGGGGCGUGGUCAGACCCAGACUAUGGAAGCAGAGAGGGCCUGCAGAAUGGGUGACUGGGAUAUCUUCAGCUGGGGUUUCCUCCUAUCUCCUGCCCCUCCUUACUUCUGGUUGCCAUAGAUAGAGGGCAUUGGGAGGCAGUGGCUUCCAGUGGUUUCUGGAAGCCUAGCCUGUCUGAUCGGGAACAGGACAUAGGAAGCAAUGGCCCCACUUCUGUACCCCUCCCCUACUUCCCUCCCUGAUAGUCCCUAUCUGAGACUCACCCUCCCUCUUCCUGCUCCUGGGGCCUGUAGCCUGGGGCUGCAUUGGCAAUCAGUGAUGUUGGUCUCCAUGGAGGCCCAGCAGCCUCAGUUCUGAGUUCAGCCUGCUGUGCAUCUCUGGGGGAGCCUCUACUCUCUCUCUCUCUCUCUCUCUCUCUCUCUCUCUCUCUCUCUCUCUCUCUCUCUCUCUCUCUCUCCUCUGUUUCCUGGAUCAGUCCUCUGUUCAGACCUCAAGGAGCACACGAUGCCAGGCAGCCGCUUUAACCCUUGGUAGUCGUUAUCAACACAUAUCAGUUGCUAACUGCGGUUACUCACUGUUGCUACCGAAUGACGGAUAGAUGGUGCUAUUGGUUGCCUGGGAUGGGCUGUGGGGAGAUGCUGGCAGCCUGCUAUGUGCUCCCAUGAAAUAGCUGUGCCCUCAGGUAACAUACUUUAGUCACUUACUUACCGGCUGCACCAUUUAGGAUCUCUCUCUUUCUCUCUCUCUCUCUCUCUCUCUCUCUCUCUCUCUCUCUCUCUCUCUCUCUCUCUCUCUCUCUCUCUUUCUCUCUCUCUCUCUCUGCCAGUGAACUCCAUAUCCCAGAGUGCCAUGUAUUGAAAGAAAACAGUCCACGACAGUUUGUCCUCCACCAAGCUCAACUCCCACCUUUAUUAUCACAAAUCAGCACCCUGUCUUGUGAGUCUGGCAGACUCAGACCUUCAUAGCUGUCUCUGGUUCCUGCUUGGUGGAAGAAGAGUCAAGGCUCAGAGAGGUGGUAUGCUUGCCUCAGGUCACACAGCAGCUGGGCCCAGAGAUAAAGACAGAGUGACAAUAGGAAGAUCUGAGGGGGACCACUGACCCCCCCCUUUUUUUUUUACCUGACCCCAGUCUCAGACCUUGAGCAUCAAGGUCUCUCAGCCAGUCCCUGGGCCCCUUCCCAUGCUCCCUGGCCCUGACCUUCCUGUCCCACUGGGCUCCUGGUGUUCCGAGUCUGGAAAGUUCUUGAAGCCUGGGAGAGAUAAGGAGUGUCUUGCCCAGGCUGUGGGCAGAGCAGGCCUGUGGCCCCUUUGAUCAGAGGCCACACAGUGUUGCCAGCCAGCUGCUUGGCAAGGCAGCUAUCUAUGGUGGGGACAGCCUGGGCGAUCCACCUGGACAGCCACUUCCCCUUGCCACUAUAGCAGUGCCUGUCUCUGCAGACAGGAAGCUGUCCCUGCACUGGUGGCGGAACCAGCAGGCUUGGCAGCCAGCCAGCGCUUUUAUCUUCUAUGGGAAGUGACCAGGAGACUGGGCCUGGCUUGGUCCACUGGUCCACUUCCCUGGCAAGUGUGGGAGCAGGGUACAGUAGGGUUGACUCCCAUACUGCACUGAUGCCUAGAUCCUGAUGGAGGAUAGACUAUAGACAGAACUUCCCUGGGGAGCUCUGGCCCUCCAUCCCAAGGGAUUCAUUUCUAAGAUAUAUCUGAGCUGCAUCCUUCUGGGCCUAGGUGCCACAUUGUCCUAAGAAAGUGGCAGCUUUGGGUCCUGGCACUGCUCAGAGCUUUCUGGACUUCUGACGGCCCCCAAGCACCAACAAUCCUACGGUCCUUACUGUUGGCUGGGUACAUAUAUGCGUUACCAUUUGCUUAUUUAUAAGGUGGAGACCCAGACUACCCAUAGAGCAGCAUGGAGUGGGGUGGGUCCGAUAGAUGAGACAUAUGAGAUUUGCCAGGUCAAUUGUCAUGUUUAAGCUCCAACUCCAAACCCCAACCCUGGAGAGAGCCCCCACCAUACCAUCUCCAGAAGCCAUGCGGAGAUGAAGGACAACUGGUUUAUAAGACCAGUUGUCCCCAAAGGAUGUCAUAUCCUAAGGGACAUCUCCCUGUUGCUCAUUUUAUCCUUGUAUCCACUCACAGGACAGGAUGUGAUGUCCCUAUGUUCACAAACAGGGAAACUGAGGCCCACUAACAGAGAAACCCAGCAACUCGCCCAGUUCUCUCUGGAGGAUAUCAGGUGUCCUCUUCUAUUACUUUCUGUCUUAUUUCUUUGACGUAGGGUCUAUCAUGAACCCAGAGCCAGGCUGGUUACUUGGCCCUACCCUGUCAUAGCUGUUUGUACAUGUGUGUGAUAUGUAUUUGUGUCUAUAUGUGUGUGUCUAUAUGUGUGUGUCUAUAUGUGGUGUAUGUGUGUAUAUGUAUGUGGGUAUGUGUGUGUGUGUGUCUAUAUGUGGGGUAUGUGUGUGCACCCAUGUGUGUGGGCACAGGUGGAGGGAGGUCAGAGCUGUGCAAGGGUUAAUGGGAAGACAGUUUGUAAAAGAAUCACAGUGUUGGUGGCACCAGGGUAGUAACAGGGGACAUGGUGUUAGAUGGUGACAACGAUUUUGGUGAUGGUACUGGGUGGGGUGCUGGAGACUUUGGCCUGGUCCUCUCUUCUGCUCUGUGUGGAUGUCCCUUGGCACUGGCCUGCACCUGGCUCUCAUCUGCCCCCAAAGCCCCCAUGAUACUCUGCUUCCCUCCUUAGGGUCAGAAUCCAAAGGCCCUUCUGAGGGCACAGUGGUCCAGGUUGUCAGAGAUGGCAGGCCAGAGAAGGUAAAAAAUUAGUUCCAGGUCAGAAGCCAGGAGCAACAUACCAAAAACUCCAGCUCAGUGCAAACCCUCAGUUGCUGGCCCCUUUCUCGAGGUCCUGGAGGAGUUCCAGGGCCCAGGACCUGUGCUAGAAAGGGGCAUGGGUGGGAAGGCACCACUGUACUCUUGUCUCAAACAACAACAACAACAACAACAACAACAACAACAACAACAAGAACAACAAAAACAAGCACUCUUUGCUCUUAAAGACUCCCAUCCUUCAGGAGGCAGAGCAUCACCCAGACAGUGACACAGGAGGGCUGGGCAGCGAGACCUGGGAAGAGGUAACAGGGUCUAUCUGCCUGGGGCUGAGGGUGGGGCUCAAAGCAGAGGCAGUACGGGGGCAAAGGCCUGGGCUUUGGAACGUGCUAGGUUUCCAUGAGGCCUGAUCCCAGGGUACAGAGGCAGGGGACAGGCUGGAGUAGGCUGGGGCUCCAGGAAGCAGCACCAGCAGCUUGGAAACUGCCCUGAUCUGAAGCAGGUCCCUCUGCCCCCUCCCUUUCCACUUCACAGCCCUUCGGGAGACACAGUAAUACCCUGCUCCCCAAAUAACUGGAAUUGUUUAAAAGUACCAGCAAGAAUUCAGAUCAGCAAGUUCUACUAGUCAAGGGAUGGAGCUAGGGCCAGUGGAAGCAGGGGACUAGGGCUGGGGAGAACCAGUCCAGGUGUGGGAUUUGGUGGGAGAAGGUGAAAGAUCCCAACCUUGGUCUGGGGAGCAGAUUUUGACAGAGACAGGACCAGAUAGACUGAAACAUAGCAGGAGGGGAGUGUGUGUGUGUGUGUGUGUGGGGGGGGGAUUCACCUACUCUGUCACCCGGAGAAGUCGCUCACUAGAUGCUAGGGAUGUGGGAUGGAGCAGGGCCAUACAAGGGCUGGCAGGGACUCAACAUGUGUGAGUGCAUGGGUGCUAGUGUGCGUGUGCAUGUAUGUGUGGGUGUGUGUUAGCAUACGUCUGGGUGUGCUAGUGUGUGUGCAUGUGUAUGUACAUGUGUGUGUUAGCAUAUGCAUGUGGGUGCAUGGGUGCUAGUGUGCGUGUGCAUGUGUGUGUUAGCAGAGACGAGUCUUUGUUUGUGGCUUCUCCUUUUGUGCAUGCUUUUCUCGAUGCCUACACAUGCCUGGGUGUCCGCAUGUACAUGCAUGCACACAAGAUGCGUUUAGCUCUGCACAGGUGGACCCAGGCCUGGAAUCUAAUGUAAGCACAGCUUUCCCAGUCCUUAGCCCUAUAAGGCCAGAGUGUUCGCUCUUUCAUCUGUCUCUUCCUUCACUCACCCAGUGCCCGGCUCUGCUCUCUGCUAUGAGCUCAGAGUCAGAGGAUUCGUCCUCUAAAGAGGUGCACACAUCCUGCAGGACGAGGCAGGCUUUACACCUACGAGCCGACGGUUACACUCAGAUUCUGACAAGUACCAAGGAAGGUGAAGUAUGUCGGGAAGGGCUGAGGUGGGGAGCACUGCUUCCAUGGAGCCAAGAAGGCAUUGCUGAGAGGUGAUGGGUUAGAGUAACUGGCGCGGGGUGGGGCGGGGUGUGACUGACAGCCAUAUCCCAGAUGAGGGCCUAACAUAUACAGAGGCCUUGUGGUAGGGCCUUGUGGUAGGGCUUAGGGGUUCUUGGGAUAGCAGAGAGGCUACAUGUGUGGAAUGGAGGGGGAGAGAACCCACAGGGCCUCUGAGGGCCUAAGCAGGGGCUUUGGUUUCCCUUCUGAGUGUGGUAGGGUGUGUCAGAACUUCUCCUGCAUGAGGGCCCUGGAUGGCUUACUCUUCCUGCCUACCGGUCUUAGGGUGGUGAUCACCGUGUGCCUAGAGCCUCAGGAGUUCGUAAAUGAGGAAACAGAGGUGCAGAGAGGCUCAUCAACUUGCCAGAGGUCACACAGAAAGCAAAACUGGACUUGACUGCAUGCUGCCCUGCAGUGACCCUCCUGCCUAGGAAGUCCCCUUAAGGGAACAAAGGAGCUGUGGCUAGCCUGCCCACUUCUUGUUCCCCAGGUUCCUCCUGUGAGGCCACUGGUGUGUGUUUGAGUCCAAUUUUACUAGCAUGAAAAGGCUGGCUCUCAGGAGAAGCUGUGGCACCAGGCUCCACUUCCACCAUCCUUGAGGUGGUCUUAGCAUGGACAAGGAUUUGAGAUGGUUACAAUGGCCAUCCUGUCAAAGUAGAGUGGCCCUUGCAAGGGUGGGUUGUGUUCAUGCACAGAGCUUGCAUUUGUGCCUACAGGGGCAUGGAUGUGUGUUGCCAGGAUAGGAGGUGCCCAUGUAGUAGGGGCUCAAUGCCCCAUUUGCACCCCUUGCCCUCAGAAGGAUCCAGGCUGGGUGAGGAUCACUGUGAGCCACAUCUGAACAGCUCUGGGAGACUCCAUGAUGCCUGGUGAGUCAAAGAGGAGGCUCCUGCCCCCCCUUUUUUUACUGGCUCUCCCUCUGGCUGAUGUUCUUGCUUCCCUGAAGAGCCACCCAUUCCACACCUGAGUGCUUGGCAAGGUACUUGCCUGACCUGGGCCACAGGGCUAGUGGCCAUGGGCAAGCAAUUUUCAUUGUCUGUAGAUUUAUCGGCUCCUCUAUCUCUGUCCACGCCAGUGAAUGUUUGGUUCCUAUGGCACAGGGGCUGCAAGGCACCUGUCAAGAUGCCUUAAGGACUGGGUGCCGUGCUGGUAUCUAAUUUCUCUGCUUCCAGAAGGGAAAGAAGUCAGGUGUUGGGCAGCAGCAUCUGCACCUGGCCUGCAGGGUGCCACCCAAGAGCGCAUGAACAGUGAAAGAAGAGCGGUCCUGAUGGAGCAGGAUUGUAGUUCUAGCUGCUACCCUCUGGGGUUCCGGAUGAGCCCACUGCUUGGCUGUGGAGAUCUCUGCAGAGAUCCUACGAGGAUGCUGAGCCAUGCUGUGCAGGCCACACUUCCAAACCAUGUAUACCAGGGUCUACUGGUGCAGGGCAGUGUAGGCAGACAUCAGGACUCCUUCAAGCAUGCCCAGCAUGGCCAUGACAAGACAAGGGGGCCUGGGACAUGACCAACAAUAAGAGAGGUAGCGUUUGCAGCACAGUGAGCCAAGUACCUGAAGGCGUGAGUGUGGUGGGACACCUACCCCCACACCCAAAAUAGUCUCUGUCUCCAUUUUCAAAGUCAACAUAGAAGGCAGAUAUUGAGGCAGAAUAAAUGGGGUACUUAGAAGGGAAGCUGAUGAGUUAGAGACAGCUGGGCCCCAGAGUACUCUGAAUUAGGCAUCGGCCUAAGGAAACAGACAGGGAGGCCUCAGCCAUGGUUCUGGUGUGUACUGCUCGGGUUUGAGCAAGGCAGAGCAAAUGGCAUGGUUGCGGAUAGGUGGGGGCUGGAGUAAGGGGCCAUGCGGGGUACCUCACUUACUUCCCUCAGUCUAGGGGUCCUGGGGGCCAGUACCCUCUUACUGGGGCCCUCUUCUUCUCCUUCUUUUACCCCUCUCCUCCCCUCCUUCCUUCUGCUCAUCCCACCUUGCUUCAUGUGGUUAAAUGCUCUCCCAUUUUAAAGUGGCCAGUCAUUCUUUUGUGGCUUCUGCGUUGAGACACUUGCUGAGGCAGAUGUCCUCACGCAAGACGGCCAAUGCUUCUUUCUAGUGGUCUCUGUUCUCCUCAGUCUUGCUUACCUGUUCCUGCCCCAGUGAUCCCUGGGUAGACUAUUGUCAGUCAUUAUCGAUGGACAGAGACAUCUUGAGAAUGGAUGUCUUAGUUGGGGUUUCCAUUGCUGUGAAGAGACUCCAUGACCAAGGCAAACAUUUGAUGGGGACUGGCUUACUAAACUUCUGGGUUUAGUCCAUUAUCAUCCUAGCAGGAAGCCUGGCAGCAUGCAGGCAGACAUGGUGCUGGAGAAGGAACUGAGAGUUCUACAUGAUUCGAGGCAACCAGGAGAGCCUGACAUCCUCAGGCAGCUAGGAGGAAGCUCUCUUCUGCAAGGGGUGGAGCCUGAGCAUAGGAAGAGACCUCCGAAGCCCACCCCCACAGGGACACACUUCCUCCAACAAGGCCACGGCUCCUAAUAGCACCACUUUCUAUGGGCCAAGCGCAUUCAGACCACCACAGUUAGACUGCUUACCCUGGUCAACGCCGUGUUCCCAUCACUCGCAUGGGAGUCACACUGUACAAUCAUGCUGGACAAAGAACCAGGACAGGUGCAGGACCCCCGGGGCCAAGCCUGAGUGCUGCUGAGCCAGAGGCUGCUCUGGAGCCACGCCCACAGGAGCUAAUGGCUGACCCCCUAGAACACAUGUACUAAGCGUUUACCUGUGUAAGCAGGUAAGUCACCUGCCUUAUGCCCACCCUUGCCUGGCAUAUCCUGUAUGUCUCUCCUCAGAACCCUCUUCUCAUUAAUCCAUACCUGUCUCAAUAAGGACAGGGGAAGAGGCCUGGACCUGGAUCUGAAAAGAGAUCCAGGGCUGAGGAGGUGCCAGCCUGCAGCGGAACACCGAAGCAACUAAACCCUAUCAGCCCGUGCAUCUCACGGAGGGCAUAGGAGAGUCCUGAGCCAAGGUUGUGCCCGGGUUGUUCAUCCCAAACCCUGGCAAGCACUGUCACAUGCUCACUGGGAUUGCAGACAGAACCCCCACAGGCCACGAGGGCUGCUCAGAUAGGCUGAGGGGAAGAUGAUGACCGGCUUAUGCAGAUGUGUGACUGCACAUCUGGGUCAGGAGUGGACAGUGAUCACGGUCACAGAUGACCCAAGGACGUGCAGAGAAACUGAAGAGAGAAACACUGAGUUCUGGACAAAUCCCACUGCCUCUUGACCGCCAGUCUGGUUGCAGCCUCAGCCUUGUGAGGAACAAGUGUUACAGCAUAAUUUUCAUAGUUUGCUUAAGGCCUUGCUCCAUUCCCGGCUUUAAACCCACAAUUUUCUAGGAAUCUCACCCAAAACACCAUUUACAGCAAGCCAUGUGCUAACCUUACUCUUGUGCAACCUGGCGGCUCCUGUCUUUGUCUUAUCAGAUGAUGAUUCCACCCAAGGCACUUCCAGAGUUCCCCUCUAGCUUCACUUAUCAGGAAGAAAUACAAGGAGGAAAAAGAAAAAGUUGCUUAGCAACCCUUUGUGAUGUGACAUGGGAGUCACCAAAAUGAUAUGUAUGACAAAGGCUGAGACAAUUAGGGCUCUCCAUCGAGAAGCUCAGCACCACAUUCAGGUAUAUCUUUUUUCCUUUUGUUUUAAAGGGUUGGUUUGUUUGUUUAUGUGUGUAUGUACGCCUUGUGUGUGCAGGUGCCUGAGGGGGCCAGAAGAGGGCGCUGAGUUCCCUAAAGCUGGAGUUACAGGCAGCCAUGAGGCCUGACAUGGGUCCUGGGCAUCAAACUCAGGUGCUCUGCAGGAGCAGUACACACACUUCAGCGCUGAGCCAUCUUUCCAACCCCUCAGGUUAUGUCAUAGUCUUUCCCUAAGUCUCGGUUUCUCCCAAUUCUCACGCUUAAAAAUCUGUUAAAAAUGUCUUAAUCAACUGUGACUGUCCUUUCAGAAGGCCGUAUCUGUGUUCUAGCUCAGUGGCUCUCAACCCUCCUGAUGCUGAGACCCUUUAAUACAGUUCCUUAUGUGUAGUGACCUCCAACCAUAAAAUUAUUUCAUUGCUAUUUCAUAACUGUAAAUUUUGCUACUGUUAUGAUUCAUAAUGUAAAUAUCUGUGUUUUCCGGUGGUCUUAGGUGGACUUUGUGAAAGGGUCAUUUGACUCCCAAAGGAGUCUUGACCCACAGGUUGAGAACUACUGCUCCAGAGCGUGUUUUGUUCUUUCCCUAGACACCUUUCUAUUUGUUUGUUUGUUUGUUUGUUCAUUUGAGACAAGGUUUUUCUAUAUAGUAGACAAGGCUGGCCUUGAACUCAUGGAGACCUGGCUGCCUCAGUGCUAUGAUCAAAGGUGUGCCAGCACUUUCUACUUUUAAUAAACUUCCAAUCCUGCUUCA